rnacentral:rRNA from 2 species
GACGGAGGAUGCAAGUGUUAUCCGGAAUCACUGGGCGUAAAGCGUCUGUAGGUGGUUCGAAAAGUCCACUGUUAAAGAUUGAGGCUUAACUUCAAAAAUGCCGUGGAAACUUUCAAACUAGAGUAUGGUAGGGGUAGAGGGAAUUUCCAGUGGAGCGGUGAAAUGCGUAGAUAUUGGAAAGACCACCGAUGGCGAAGGCACUCUACUGGGCCAUUACUGACACUGAGAGACGAAAGCUAGGGGAGCAAAUGGG